GGGGGCUUAGCUCAUCUGGUAGAGCGCCUGCCUUGCAAGCAGGAGGUGGCGGGUUCAAGCCCCGUAGCUUCCA
rnacentral:tRNA from 3 species